rnacentral:rRNA from 1 species
CAGUUCGAAAGAACCUGCUAAUACCGCACUGCGGUUAUCGGGGUUUAGAAACUGAUAACUAAAGGAGCAAUUCGCUUUGGGAGGGACCUGCGUCCCAUCAGCUAGUUGGUGAGGUAACGGCUCACCAAGGCUACGACGGUAGGGACCUGAGAGGGUGCCCCCCACAAUGGAACUGAAACACGGUCCAUACACCUACGGGUGGCAGCAGUAGGGAAUAUUGCACAAUGGGCGAAAGCCUGAUGCAGCAACGCCGCGUGUGCGAUGAAGGCCUUCGGGUCGUAAAGCACUUUCUGAGAGAUGAGAAAGGACAGUAUCUCAGGAAUAAGUCUCGGCUAACUACGUG